rnacentral:rRNA from 1 species
GAUGAACGCUGGCGGCGUGCCUAAUACAUGCAAGUCGAGCGAACAGAUGAGGAGCUUGCUCCUCUGACGUUAGCGGCGGACGGGUGAGUAACACGUGGAUAACCUACCUAUAAGACUGGGAUAACUUCGGGAAACCGGAGCUAAUACCGGAUAAUAUAUUGAACCGCAUGGCUCAAUAGUGAAAGACGGUUUUGCUGUCACUUAUAGAUGGAUCCGCGCCGCAUUAGCUAGUUGGUAAGGUAACGGCUUACCAAGGCAACGAUGCGUAGCCGACCUGAGAGGGUGAUCGGCCACCCUGGAACUGAGACACGGUCCAGACUCCUACGGGAGGCGGCAGUAGGGAAUCUUCCGCAAUGGGCGAAAGCCGGACGGAGCACCGCCGCGUGAGUGAUGAAGGUCUUCGGAUCGUAAAACUCUGUUAUUAGGGAAGAACAAAUGUUUAAGUAACUAUGCACGUCUUGACGGUACCUAAUCAGAAAGCCACGGCUAACUACGUG